GGAAUAGACUUUUUCUGUGUGUUUCCUUUUAAAAGUUAGGAAAUAUUUCCUGGAAGUUAUUAGUUAUCCUCAUGUCUCAUUGGCCAGAAUUGUACCACAUGCCUAUGAUACUAACCAAUCAUUGGUGAGGAGAAUGAGAUCACCGGGGUUGACUAAUUAGGACUUACUCUCGGAGUUAGGCUUAUCCUGAAGCACACAGCCAUGAGAAAAGGGCUAAGAACUGGAACAAAAUGGAUUUCUUUGGAGUAGAAAAGAGGGGGUGUACCAAUGAUCUGUCAAGUGAUGCGACACUAGAAUCAGGCUGGAAUUUGGCGUCUUACGGCUACAAAAGUGUUUCAUCAGUCUUCAGGUCUCUGUGCUGAUGUUAAUGCUGGUCAGCUGUGCCUGAAUUCCAACGGGAGGAAGGAAAGAUGAUGUGCAGAGACACAGGGAGAAGACGGCCAUCCACAAGCCAAGGCGAGAGGCCUGGACAGAUCUUUCCCUCACAGUCCUCGGAAAGAACCAAUCCUUUGAACUUCUUGAUUGUGGACUUCUAGGCUCCGGAAGUGUGAGAGAGGACAAAGGAGCACAUGCUCAAAAAGAAGUAGAUUGGGAGUGCCUGCGGACCCAGAGACUGACCAUCAAAGAAGACAGGAAAGUUAAGGCUCAGAGUGGCCAAGUGACUUCCUCAUGACAUUUCAGCAUUGACUUGUGGCCUCCCAAUCACAAACCUGGACCCUGUGAAUACCAAAAUCUGGGGAUACUCAAGUCCCUUAUAUAAAAUGGUAUAAUGGUGCAUAGCCCAUGCACAUAAUCUCUAGAUUACUUAUAAUAUCUAAUACAAUGUAAGUGGUAUGUAAAUAGUAGUUAUACUUUAUUGAUUUUUAUUUGUAUUUUUAGCUGUUGUAUUGUUAUUGUUUUUUAUUCCCAAAUAUUUCCCAUCUGCCAUUGGUUGAAUACAGGAUGCAGAACUGGAGGAUAUGAAGGGCUGAGUGUAGUUAGUAAAUUCAUAGAUAAGGAUCUUUCUUAUCAGAAUCAAAUAAAUGCAAAUUAAAAAACAAAAAUGUAAUGUCUUAGCUACUGAAUUUAUUUUCCCUAAAAUUAACAAUACCUAAUACUAGAAGCAGCAUCUUCAAAACUGGUUGUUGGUCUAGGAGACUGUGGUUAAAUUUCUUUUUUAGUCUUGAAGGCUUCAUAAUGCCCACAAUAUAUUUAUUUUCUCUCGUCUUUGGGAAAAGAAAAUCUGUGACUUUUCCUAUUAUUCUGAAGUAACUCCCACAAAGACUUCAAUGCACCUUCCUCAGAAAGACAAAUUUUGCAUCAUUGCAACAAUAAGUAUUUAUACUUUGUAAGGCUUGCAAACUUCCAUUGAGAAAGCAUUGCUCAAAAUAUUUGCCAGUUUGCGGUUUAAUGACACCUCAAGUGACAUUAUGUCUUUGCUGUCACUCACAUUUCCUAGAAGAAUUUUUAAGGGAUGGAAAGAAAUCCUCCAGGUUGUAAUAGAACCCCAGUUUUGAGGGGUUUAUUAUUUUGGACCUACAAAAUAAUUAUAAUCAGACAGCUUAAAUCAGUGUGGUAAUAUUUGCGUGCUGUACUGUAAUACUGUUUUGCAUAAAGAAUAAAGGGACAAUGAAAUAACACUUUGAUUGUUUUUUCUAAUACUUGAAAUUUUAAAAUAUUUGCUUCAUUGUGUAUUUUUCAAAAUGCAGACAUUAGGCCUGGCUUAAACAGUGAUCCUGUUUUGGUAGGCAUUCAAUAAUAUUGCACGUGGCACCAUCCUUUGGAAAAUUGUUUUAUGUAUCAAUAACUUAAAAAUAUUAUGGGCUAGGUGUAGUGGCUCACGCCUGUAAU
rnacentral:lncRNA from 1 species